GACGAACGCUGGCGGCGUGCUUAACACAUGCAAGUCGAACGGAAAGGCCCUGCUUUUGUGGGGUGCUCGAGUGGCGAACGGGUGAGUAACACGUGAGUAACCUGCCCUUGACUUUGGUAUAACUUAAGGAAACUGGGGCGAAUACCGGACAGGAUCUCCUGCUUCAUUCUGGUGGUUGGAAAGUUUCGGCGGUUGGGGAUGGACUCGCGGCUUAUGAGCUUGUUGGUGGGGUAGUGGCGUACGAAGGCUUUGACGGGUAGCCGGCCUGAGAGGGUGACCGGCCACAUUGGGACUGAGAUACGGCCCAGACUCCUACGGGAGGCAGCAGUGGGGAAUAUUGCACAAUGGGCGGAAGCCUGAUGCAGCAACGCCGCGUGCGGGAUGACGGCCUUCGGGUUGUAAACCGCUUUCGCCUGUGACGAAGCGUGAGUGACGGUAAUGGGUAAAGAAGCACCGGCUAACUACGUG
rnacentral:rRNA from 1 species